CCUACGGGAGUCAGCAGUGGGGAAUAUUGCACACUGGGGGAAACCCUGAUGCAGCGACGCCGCGUGAGUGAAGAAGUAUCUCGGUACGUAAAGCUCUAUCAGCAGGGCAGAAAAUGACGGUACCUGACUAAGAAGCCACGGCUAACUACGUGCCAGCAGCCGCGGUAAUACGUAGGGGGCAAGCGUUAUCCGGAUUUACUGGGUGUAAAGGGAGCGUAGACGGCAGGACAAGUCUGGAGUGAAAGCCCGGGGCUGAACCCCGGAACUGCCUUGGAAACUGUGCGGCUGGAGUGCAGGAGGGGUAAGCGGAAUUCCUAGUGUAGCGGUGAAAUGCGUAGAUAUUAGGAGGAACACCGGUGGCGAAGGCGGCUUACUGGACUGUAACUGACGUUGAGGCUCGAAAGCGUGGGGAGCAAACAGGAUUAGAUACCCGGGUAGUC
rnacentral:rRNA from 1 species